ensembl:lncRNA
AUGUGUGGGCGCUUACAAACCCUGAUGUGCCGUGCACGGAUGCAACUAGUGGCAGGCAGCUGUGUGAGGACUCUUGGUGUCCUGCGUCCCCUCCCCUCCACCCAUCCUGUUGCCAUCCCAUUCCUCACCAUCCAUCUGGACUGUGUGUGGGCCAGGCGCUCAAUAGGCGGGUCACUUCAGGCUUGUAUGAGCGAGUGCAGGCUUGCAGAGCUGAGGAUCCAACUUGCAGGGGGCCAAGAGUGGCAGCCAUUGCCAGCAGGGAUGUUUUGUCUAAAUGAAGCUUCUGUCGUUUAUUCCCCAUCUCGUUCUUCCUCCAUCUCUGUCGCAGUACGAGGUGGAGGUUUUUGUUCGCGGUCAGAUGAGCUUGUGUCCACACCAUGCUGUCCUGUAACCGGUUGGUCCCGCGCCGCGACUGGGAUCUCUUUGCACUUUCACGCUGCUGUAUAUCGACCGGGCCUCAGUGACACCACGGAUGCUGGAGACCUGCUCAGUGCUCUGUUCCCUGACUGUGUGAGGAGCUGUGAUUGGUCGAGCAAAGAGCCCGAAGAAGAGGACACGAGUCACUGCCAGCCUUUCAGAGCCUGUGUCUUCCCAGCAGCCAUGACUAGAGUUUCUACUUCCUACCAUCACUUUGAUGACUCACAUUCCAACAGUCAUAUCCCAUGGACAUUUAUGAAUGACAAGAAUUUAAAACACAUUUAAGGGGAUUUUUUUGUGAAAUAUUUUAGAAUGUGGUAAAAAGAAUGUAUGAAAGCUGAAAACAUGUAUUUAUGUCAUUCAAGAAAUUAUUUUUGUUACUUAUACUUUUUGAGUUCACUGUCUCAUUUAAGAAUUUAACUUACAUGUGUUGUUUCUUUUAGUUUCUUUAGAAUUAUUACACUCUCAGAAUAUAUAUUAUAUAAAUGAUUAGAAAUUGUAACAGUGUAGGGUGAAACAUUAUUUUGUAUCGUGCUAUUAAUUGUUAUUCUUUAGAAUGUCCUGAAUCACAAUAGUGUUUUAAUUUCAUAGAUUUUUACUGAAUGUAAGUUGAACACACGAGCUGAAAGGAAUAUGAAUCUAUUUUUCAUGAUGAAGUUUUUUUAUAUUGAUUUCUGCACAAGGAAAGUAGAGCUUGUGGUGUUUUGAGUCACUUACAGUAACUAUAUUCAUAGACCCCACAAGCCAGUGUAGCCAACGUCUUAAUGAAUAUGGGCAGAUAGACAAAAAAUUGCAGCCAAAUAAAAGUAUAAUAAAGGCAUCUAAAUCCUAACAAGCCUGCCUUUGUUCUUCCACUCCACCCACCACAAGUUGGCCGUGUGAAAGCAGGCGUUGUUGCGGCUUUGAGGGCAGCUCUGAGAGUUCCAUGCCCACCGGCCUUCAAUCACAUGGGAUGUCUGAGUUUGACAGUAUAAAGUCUUUCUUCUAGAACAAAAUAAGGCCCCUAAGCAAUAGUGGAUGAGCUCUUAGUAACCAUCCAGUCCACGGGGAGGUAGACCAAGCAUGGUAGUACAGCACACACAAAGUGUUGGUUAGGGAUGAGACAAUGGACCAGUGGAAACAUCACUGGAUGCUGCACCGCUCGUAAAUGUCUUACAUUUACUCACAGAACUAAAGGAUAUCUCGUUUUGUUUUUUGCACAAAAAUUCAGUUUUGCCAAAUAAAAACCAGAACAACAGUUUACUAAAUACCAGUUAAGUAAAGUUUUAGUAAUCCGUAUGGAUAAACUGAAAGGGAAAUAAUUAUUUUAUUUUCUAAACACUUGAUAUAAGAGAUACCCAAAGCAUCUUUCACUUCACAGAGGUUGUAUUGGAUUGUAGUGACGCUCUUCUACAAUGGAUUUCAUUUUGUACAUUUGUUUGUGCCCAUCUUGAACUUUUUAGAGGGCAUCAGAGAGGAUAAACCGCGAACGUACACACAAGCUUCCGUGUUCACUCACUGGCAGCGCGUAAGGAUUAAUUCCAGCCUUACAGGAAGAAGACACCACCGCUUCCUGGCCUGGCCAAAUCAAUAGGCAACAUUCUUUCUAGCAUAGCAGUCAAUACACAACACUUAAGGUGUCUGACGGAGCUAAAGAACACCAAUAAUUGUUAUUAAUGCCUCAGAUAUCCCCAAGCAUUGCGUUUAGACGCAAUAAAGACUCCUUCGGCUCGAGUCAAGUGUGUUUGGAAAUUGGAAGGUUAACACAAAAAAUAGUGACCGAUAUAUUAUGGUUUCUUUCCAAAUCCCUUGUAUGAUGUUGACGUUCUGAAGAAAUUGAAGCCACAGUAUUGGAGUGACCGUAGGGAUGGUGAUGUCAACAUGGUGGAUGAGCAUUAAAAUUUCACACAGACAUUGUGGUUGACUUUUUUUCUGCGUGUUUUUACUGGAAUUUCUAAACAACUGAAUUUGAUUCAGUCCCAGAUAAUAAAUAACUUUGGUGCCUACACUUAAUUUAUCCAAUAGUAGUCCAAUAAGCUAGAGUAAAAUGGUGAACAUUGUAAAUAUUAUACCUGGUAAAGAUCCACAUGUUAGCAUUGUUAUCGUCAGUGUUUGAGACGCGUGCUGAUAUUGUUCAGCUUUUGACAUUAAACUUCGACGGAAACAUGCGGCACAUGACAAAGUUUCAUUGAAGAAUCAACCCACCGUGAAGUCACCUAUUGGUUUGUGAACUGCCAAUUUGAAUUCGGCACUUUGGCCAGCGCCAUCUUGAUUUUCCUGGAAAACAGAAGUAACCACAUUUGGAGGAGGAGGGGUGUGAGUCUGUCCACUGCACGUUCACCCACACCUGCCUGACAUUGUAUCAACGCCCCAAUGUAAACCAUGCUUUAUCAUCUGUUUCACUCUAAAUCGGACCGUAAUUUACAAGAAUGCUGAAAUAGCAACUGAGAAUAUAAACUUCGGGAACAUGUUAAAUGACGUUAUUAAUCAAGUGAGCAGUAAAGUCAUUUUAUCAUAGAUCUUCUACCCAUAGAUUUAAUCUAUAGAUGGUUAUCUUUCUGGAACCAGUCGAGUCGCCCUCUGCUGGUCAUUUGAGAGAAUACAGGUUUUAGGCACACAGUAUUGGCUUCACUCUCCGGACCAUUCUUCUACACAGUCGAUGGUCCUUUCCAAAAAGAAAUGUUGAUUUUGGGCAUUUUUACCAGGUGAUUCUCCCUGUACUCAAAAGAGCAUUAUAAAAAGAAGCGAUUCAGUUUGCUGAAUGAAAUAAAUUAUUGAAACAAGGCGCCCUCACAUGUUGCAACGGGGACACGGCACACAAACAGGCUUUAAGUGCACCAAUCUGCGGUGGCUAUUACACAUCGCACACAAAGCCACUUUAUCAGUGCGAGCAGUUACCAAGUGAAGGACAGCUAACAACAAGCAUAUACCUCGCUUCCAUCAUAAACCACAUGUGGGUUCAGAACUGGUGAAGGUAACAAAAGACGAGCGCGUGUGCGCAUGUGUGUGUGUGUGUGUGUUCGGAGGAGGGCAUUCUAAAUUCAAUCAAGUGAAGGCCAUCUCCAGCAGGGUAACAGGGAGCGGAGGGGGGGAAGAUGAGGGGAAACUCAACUGAAGUUUCCACUGGGCCUGCUGUGCUCCUAAUGCAGCCUUGGAUGUAAUUGGGUCCCAGAAGGCUGUUCAUUAUCAGGGGUGAGCGAGGCAACAAAACAGAAAAGUCGCAGAAAGAGAAUGAAAGUGCCUCAUUCUCUGCUCGCUGCCUCCGUCCCGGCACCAUUAUGGGACAAGAGUUAAUUAAAAGAGCAGUUGAUGCUGCUGUUUUCCUCAUCAAUCUCACUUCGGCUCUUAUUAAGUUUGUAA